rnacentral:tRNA from 1 species
UAGAUUGUACCAUACCUUAUGAGAGACGUUGGCCUCGCCUUACCUUCUGAUCUCAGACAGUCUACC